rnacentral:rRNA from 1 species
GUGUCAGCAGCCGCGGUAAUACAGAGGGUGCAAGCGUUAAUCGGAAUUACUGGGCGUAAAGCGUGCGCAGACGGUUUCGUAAGUCGGGUGUGAAAGCCCCGGGCUCAACCUGGGAAUUGCAUUCGAAACUGCAAGGCUAGGGUACGGAAGAGGGAAGCGGAAUUUCUGGUGUAGCGGUGAAAUGCGUAGAUAUCAGAAGGAACAUCAGUGGCGAAAGCGGCUUCCUGGUCCAGUACCGACGUUCAGGCACGAAAGCGUGGGGAGCAAACAGGAUUAGAUACCCCCGUAGUCC